GCAGCCGUAGCCGAGUGGUUAAGGCGAUGAGCUAGAAAUCCAUUGGGGUCUCCCCGCACAGGUUCAAAUCCUGUCGACGGCG
rfam:Ixodes scapularis strain Wikel colony gcontig_1107729015728, whole genome shotgun sequence.